UAACACCAGUGAGGACAGCAUUUGCUGAU
rnacentral:piRNA from 1 species